AAUUUGAUAGAACUGAAUAUCAAAGGCCUGGAAGGGAUAACAGUAAUCAAUGUGUCUGUACUUAUGAAUUUCACUAAAUUAAAGCACCUGUCACUGAUGACAGUGAAGAACAUGUCGGAGGUUCUGGAGGUGGUAGGCAAGAUGGACUCAGCUGGAGCUCUCUAGAGCUGGGGGAAAUGAUCAAUGUGACAGAGACACAUGUGAUACAGGGCUUCUCACAGCUCACUAAUCUCAAACGGCUUCGCCUCAAGAAGGGACAACAGGACUGCCCC